GAUGAACGCUGGCGGCGUGCCUAAUACAUGCAAGUAGAACGCUGAAGCUUGGUGCUUGCACCGAGCGGAUGAGUUGCGAACGGGUGAGUAACGCGUAGGUAACCUGCCUGGUAGCGGGGGAUAACUAUUGGAAACGAUAGCUAAUACCGCAUAACAGUCGACAUUGCAUGAUGUUGAUUUGAAAGGGGCAAAUGCUCCACUACCAGAUGGACCUGCGUUGUAUUAGCUAGUUGGUGAGGUAACGGCUCACCAAGGCGACGAUACAUAGCCGACCUGAGAGGGUGAUCGGCCACACUGGGACUGAGACACGGCCCAGACUCCUACGGGAGGCAGCAGUAGGGAAUCUUCGGCAAUGGACGGAAGUCUGACCGAGCAACGCCGCGUGAGUGAAGAAGGUUUUCGGAUCGUAAAGCUCUGUUGUAAGAGAAGAACGAGUGUGAGAUGUGGAAAUGUUCACAGCU
rnacentral:rRNA from 1 species